rnacentral:rRNA from 1 species
AGAGUUUGAUCCUGGCUCAGGACGAACGCUGGCGGCGUGCUUAACACAUGCAAGUCGAACGGAAAGGCCCCCACUUUUUUGGUGGGGGUGCUCGAGUGGCGAACGGGUGAGUAACACGUGGGUGAUCUGCCCUGCACUUCGGGAUAAGCUUGGGAAACUGGGUCUAAUACCGGAUAGGACCAUGGUUUAGUGUCUCAUGGUGGAAAGAUUAUUGUUUUGGUGCAGGAUGAGCUCGCGGCCUAUCAGCUUGUUGGUGGGGUAAUGGCCUACCAAGGCGUCGACGGGUAGCCGGCCUGAGAGGGUGGACGGCCACAUUGGGACUGAGAUACGGCCCAGACUCCUACGGGAGGCAGCAGUGGGGAAUAUUGCACAAUGGGCGCAAGCCUGAUGCAGCGACGCCGCGUGGGGGAUGACGGCCUUCGGGUUGUAAACUCCUUUCGUUAGGGACGAAGCCACACCUUUUUUUGGGUGUGGUGACGGUACCUUUGUUAAGAAGCACCGGCUAACUACGUGCCAGCAGCCGCGGUAAUACGUAGGGUGCGAGCGUUGUCCGGAAUUACUGGGCGUAAAGAGCUCGUAGGUGGUUUGUUGCGUCGUCUGUGAAAUUCCGGGGCUUAACUUCGGGGUGGCAGGCGAUACGGGCAUAACUAGAGUGCUGUAGGGGAGACUGGAAUUCCUGGUGUAGCGGUGGAAUGCGCAGAUAUCAGGAGGAACACCGAUGGCGAAGGCAGGUCUCUGGGCAGUAACUGACGCUGAGGAGCGAAAGCAUGGGGAGCGAACAGGAUUAGAUACCCUGGUAGUCCAUGCCGUAAACGUUGGGCACUAGGUGUGGGGGACAUUCCACGUUUUCCGCGCCGUAGCUAACGCAUUAAGUGCCCCGCCUGGGGAGUACGGCCGCA